rnacentral:lncRNA from 1 species
CCAAAUACAUCAAUUAUAUCGAAGGAAAAUCUCACAGACGAACCAAGGAAGAAGACGAAGCAUCAGUGCAAUAGUUGAUUGAAUCAAGAACUCUGAUCUCACUAAUAAUUGGUCAGGGAAGCGAUGCUUUUUAGAACCAGCUCUGGAGCAUCUCAGAAGCUAGUCUAGGGUUUAAUUCUCGAAAGCUUGAAGACCGGUUCCUAAUCGUCGCGUCCAUGGAAGAGAGGAUGGAGUUGACUGAACGAAAUUGCUGACGGUGUAGUCUCAUAUUGCUCUCCGACCAGAUUGAAUAAAUCGGGCACUGCCAAACUAAGAUAGUAAGUUUUUUCUGCAAUUUCGAUCCCAGAGUUGUUGCAUAUCUUUUGUUCUUAGUUACUAAAGCAAUCUCUUGUCGACAACACACCUAUCUUUUAUUUGAAUCCAUUUUUUCGAUUCCCAAAAUCAUUAACAAUAAAAUUAAGAACACACCAAGACAUUGUCUCAAUUAAAUGAUUAUUAAUCAAAUUCAUUGGUUAUUAACAUAGAUAUAUGAAAAGAUUGUUCAACAUAUAUGAAAUUACUUAAAAUGCAAACAAAAAUUUGCAGACACAUAAACCAAAACAUUAAAUAAAACAAUUGAAAACAUUGACAAAAAAAAAAAAAAAAAACAAUUGAAAACUCUUGAAUUUUCAUUAGGACCACAACAAAUAAAGGCAUCCGUACCUUGUGAGCUUGUUUGUUAGAAGAAGCAAACUCUUGAGUUCCUAAAGGAAUAAGAUUUGUUUGUACUAACAUAAGUCAAAUUUGUUCAGUCUUCAAAAGAAGCUACAUUCCCAACAUUACCUCAAGCUAUAACAAAAAAUUAAAAGGUCAAUAAGACGAUUAUAAUCAAGUAAAUAGAUAUUGAUAUUAAUCGUGUUAAAAAACCAAGAUCAAUAUUUUCUCACGUAUCAUAGCUUCUGCCCUUACGGAAAAUAUAGAAUUCUCGAUUCCAGUGGAGAAUCAGAUUGUCUUAUACUCAAAGAUGCUAAAUUUGGUCGGUCUUCGAAAACAUUACAUUCCUUCAACUGUAACAAAAAAUAAGAUACAUGUCAAUAUGAUGAUUAGAAUCAUAAUAGCCCCGUUAAUUUUGUAUUUGCAAGAGAUCUAAAAACAAUAAUCCUCACAUUUGAACUGUCCUAAGCCUAACUUCCGUAUAAUAAUAAACAUAAAGCGAAUACACAUAAAGCGAUGCAAUUUGACUUUGUUAUAAACUCACAUUUUGUUUCUUUGUCACAUAUGAGGUUAGUAGUAUCUUAACUACAUGUAA